CAGUCGCCGCGGGAAUACGUAGGGUGCGAGCGUUAAUCGGAAUUACUGGGCGUAAAGCGUGCGCAGGCGGUUCGUUAAGACAGAUGUGAAAUCCCCGGGUUUAACCUGGGAACUGCAUUUGUGACUGGCGGGCUAGAGUAUGGCAGAGGGGGGUAGAAUUCCACGUGUAGCAGUGAAAUGCGUAGAGAUGUGGAGGAAUACCGAUGGCGAAGGCAGCCCCCUGGGCCAAUACUGACGCUCAUGCACGAAAGCGUGGGGAGCAGACAGGAUUAGAUACCCCCGUAGUCCCUGUCUCUUAUAC
rnacentral:rRNA from 1 species